rnacentral:tRNA from 1 species
AUUUAUAUAGUUUAAUAAAAACAUUACAUUUUCAAUGUAAAAUUAAAAUAUUCUUUUUUUAUAAAUA